CCAAUCGAACCCGGAGAUAGCUGGUUCUCCUCGAAAUAGCUUUAGGGCUAGCCUCGAUACAGAUUGGCGGAGGUAGAGCACUGAAUUUCCUAGGGGGCGUCAAAGCCUACCGAAGAAUAUCAAACUCCGAAUGGCGGCCAGAUGGUGUCAUGGAGUCAGACUGCACGAGAUAAGUUGGGUGGUCAAAAGGGAAAGAGCCCAGACCCACAGCUAAGGUCCCAAAGUGCGUGUUAAGUGGAAAAGGAUGUGGGAUUUCGAAGACAACUAGGAUGUUGGCUCAGAAGCAGCCACACAUUAAAAGAGUGCGUAAUAGCUCACUAGUCGAGAGGUCCUGCGCCGAAAAUGUCCGGGGCUGAAACACGACACCGAAGCUUGGGAAUCCUACGGGAUUGGUAGAGGAGCAUUGAAGACGGGACGAAGCGUAACCGUAAGGAUACGUGGACUGUCUUGAAGAGAGAAUGCCGGAAUGAGUAGCGAGAAUGAAGUGAGAAUCUUCAUGGCCGAAUAUCUAAGGUUUCCAGGGUAAAGCUGAUCUGCCCUGGGUAAGUCGGGACCUAAGGCGAGGUCGAAAGACGUAGCCGAUGGACAACAGGUUGAAAUUCCUGUACUGCAUUAAAUCAGAACUGUGGGGACACAGAAGGAAGGCAUGAGCCGGAAAAGGAAAAUCCGGUGCAAGCAUGGGAGGGGUAUGACAGGCAAAUCCGUCAUGCAACCCGAGAAUGUGACGCGGAGCGAACAAAAGUAGCGAAGCAUGCUUACCGGCUGUCGAGAAAAGCCGCUAUUGUGUUUAAUGUACCCGUACCGUAAACCGACACAGGUGGAUGAGGAGAGAAUCCUAAGGCCGGCGGGAGAAGCAUUGUUAAGGAACUCGGCAAAAUGACCCCGUAACUUCGGGAGAAGGGGUGCUCUUAGAAAUAAGAGCCGCAGAGAAUUGGCCCAAGCAACUGUUUAGCAAAAACACAGGUCUAUGCAAAACCGAAAGGUGAGGUAUAUGGGCUGACGCCUGCCCGGUGCUGGAAGGUUAAGAGGAGAGGUUAGCGCAAGCGAAGCUUUGAAUUUAAGCCCCAGUAAACGGCGGCCGUAACUAUAACGGUCCUAAGGUAGCGAAAUUCCUUGUCGGGUAAGUUCCGACCCGCACGAAAGGCGUAAUGAUUUGGGCACUGUCUCAACAAUGCACCCGGUGAAAUUGAAAUACCAGUGAAGAUGCUGGUUACCUGCGCCAGGACGGAAAGACCCCAUGGAGCUUUACUCCAGCUUGAUACUGGGAUUCGAUAUUGCAUGUACAGGAUAGGUGGGAGACUGAGAACUGAUGACGCCAGUCGUCAGGGAGUCACUGUUGGGAUACCACCCUUGUAGUAUUGGAUUUCUAACCAGCAGCCGUGAUCCGGCUGGGGGACAAUGUCAGGUGGGGAGUUUGACUGGGGCGGUCGCCUCCGAAAGGGUAUCGGAGGCGCUCAAAGGUUCCCUCAGAAUGGUUGGAAACCAUUCGAAGAGUGCAAAGGCAGAAGGGAGCUUGACUGCGACACCGACGG
rnacentral:rRNA from 1 species